rnacentral:lncRNA from 1 species
GGAUAAGACAGGCUUAUCUUUGGAUAGCGAACUGCCCUGUCAGCAGAGAAUGUAUCUCAGAAUCCAGAUGCCCACAGGAAACAGAGAAGCAGCAUUCAUUCGUGUCUCUGCAGGAAAGAAUAAAAUUCAUCUCCAUCUCUGACACAUUGCACCAGAACCUCAAAGGGAAUGAAUCCUUCUGCGAGUGGCAGAUCCAGAUUACAGCUAUUCCUGUGGGAGAAAUGCCAUCUUCUGGAGGCAUCAGUGCACCAAUAGCAGCAUGGAAGUUAUCAAGGAGACAGAGCCAUGUCUUCAGUGUGCUGCAUGGUCAGAAGACAAGAGGCAGCAGGGCAGGGAGAACUCGGCUUCGGCACAGCAGCCAGCACAACACACUGUAGCAGCCCAAUACAGUGGCCUGGUUGUCACAUACUGCUUGGUUCAUACCUGGAAUCUGCAGUGAGUUGAAUUCCUGUGUCUCAGAAGCACCAUCUCACAUUUGCU